GACGAACGCUGGCGGCGUGCCUAAUACAUGCAAGUUGAGCGCUGAAGGUUGGUACUUGUACCAACUGGAUGAGCAGCGAACGGGUGAGUAACGCGUGGGGAAUCUGCCUUUGAGCGGGGGACAACAUUUGGAAACGAAUGCUAAUACCGCAUAAAAACUUUAAACACAAGUUUUAAGUUUGAAAGAUGCAAUUGCAUCACUCAAAGAUGAACCCGCGUUGUAUUAGCUAGUUGGUGAGGUAAAGGCUCACCAAGGCGAUGAUACAUAGCCGACCUGAGAGGGUGAUCGGCCACAUUGGGACUGAGACACGGCCCAAACUCCUACGGGAGGCAGCAGUAGGGAAUCUUCGGCAGUGGACGAAAGUCUGACCGAGCAACGCCGCGUGAGUGAAGAAGGUUUUCGGAUCGUAAAACUCUGUUGGUAGAGAAGAACGUUGGUGAGAGUGGAAAGCUCAUCAAGUGACGGUAACUACCCAGAAAGGGACGGCUAACUACGUG
rnacentral:rRNA from 1 species